rnacentral:rRNA from 2 species
UGGUUCAGGACGAACGCUGGCGGCGUGCCUAAUACAUGCAAGUCGAGCGGAGAUUUGAAAAGCUUGCUUUUCAAAUCUUAGCGGCGGACGGGUGAGUAACACGUGGGCAACCUGCCCUUGAGACGGGGAUAACUCCGGGAAACCGGAGCUAAUACCGGAUAACACAUAUCUUCGCAUGAAGAUAUGUUAGAAGGUGGCUUUUAGCUACCACUCAAGGAUGGGCCCGCGGCGCAUUAGCUAGUUGGUGAGGUAACGGCUCACCAAGGCGACGAUGCGUAGCCGACCUGAGAGGGUGAUCGGCCACACUGGGACUGAGACACGGCCCAGACUCCUACGGGAGGCAGCAGUAGGGAAUCUUCCGCAAUGGACGAAAGUCUGACGGAGCAACGCCGCGUGAGUGAUGAAGGUUUUCGGAUCGUAAAGCUCUGUUGUUAGGGAAGAACAAGUACCUGU